rnacentral:lncRNA from 1 species
GGCUUGAAAGGGUAAUCGGGGGGGAAAUGAAUAGUGACUAAAAACACUCCUCCCGCAUACGGACUAUCCUGUGGACCCAUUAUCGUUGCCUGCCAGUGAAACAUGUCUUCACCAACAGGUCCUGUUACAAUACCAAAUGAGUAUGAUUUCCAACUAGCAACCACAAUAGUUAAAUAAAGAAAAGGUACUUUAUAAAAACACGACUCGACACCAAAUGAUUUAUGAAUGGCUUCACAAAGUUGCAAGUUAGAUAUGAUCUGAAAACAGCAUAGCUCCAAUUAAAGUGUUUGCAGCAACCUUGCUAUCAUUAAAACACCUAAAAUUCUAGUCUUCCCCACCCCCCACCCCCUUACCUUCUUAGCAGUUGGGUUGGCCUUCUCAACUUCCACUCAACAUCAAUGAUUACAGUUAGCAAAGAUUUUUCAGAAAAUGGUCAAAAACAACAAAAUUAGCCAACCCCACAAGACAUCGUGCCAUCUAAAGAUUAUUUAUCGCAAGAUUUUUACAAGACAAAAUGCAUAAAACAUCCAAACUAAAGUUCUCAAAAAAAAAAAAAAACAUCUAAAGUAAUAAACCAGGGAAGCCCAGAUGAUAAAAAUGUCAUUUUCUUGCACAUAUACAUUCGAAUGUCAUGGAUCCACCCUAAGAAUUCUCAAUCAGCAAAAAAAAAUACAAUAACCAACAAAAAAACGCAUAUGGACUCGCCAAAUAAAGCUAAAUUAAAUUAAGGAAAACCAAAAUUGAGAGAAACACCUGCGCUGCAAGAAGUUGGGGGAUCCUUCUGCAAAUCCUUGAGCUCCUUCAAGAUCCGUUUGGAAGCCAUCGAAGAAAAAUCCGAUCUUUUGACUAUCUUCGAGAGACCCAGAAAGAAAAAUAAAAUCAAAUUGAGAGAUGUAAACAAGGCAAAAACGCGCAGCGUUUGGUGAGAAUUUUACCUGCCGAGAGAGAAGAGAGAGAGGCGAAGACUUGCUCAGUUGAUUCGCCUUUUUGCUUCUUGUUCAGCUGCCGCUUCUUGAUCUUGACGCGAUGAAACUGAUUUUGAAGAAUAUAGCACUCAAUAUUAAUUAAUUAUUAAUAUAAAAUUAAAAUAUAAGUGCAAGAUUUUACUAUACUUUUUUUCCUUCAAAUGAUUGGACUCUUUUCAUUUGAUAUCGGGUUGUCUUGUUUCCCCUCCAAUAAUUUGUUAAUACAGUUCACAAAAUCUAAAAUAAAUAAAAAGAAUGUAAAAUAUGACAUAUUUUAUUUAGUUUGUUGUUAUGACAUUGUACCAUAUUAAUUUAGUGUCUCGCCUUCAAAUUUUUCUAUUUUUACUUAUUAUGUUUUAGUUUAAUUUUAUGAUUAUUAGUUAUUUGUUCCAGUUUACUAUAUUAUUCUUAUUAUCGUUUAAUUUCAUUUUUAUUAAUUAAUUAUAGGUUGAUAAAUUUAAAGUCAUGAUACGUAGUGAUUUUUUAAAUUUUAAAAUUUUAUAAUUCAUAAUAUUAUACUCCCCGGUCUCCUUGUUAUUGUCCUAUUUAUUAUUUUAAGUUGUGUAAUUAUUAUUAUCUCGUUUUCAUAAAAAGUAAUAAUUAACUCUUUAUAAGGUGUGAGUCCUACCACUUUUAAUUAAUUUACAUAUUUUUUUUAAAUCGUGUGUCUAAAUGUUUUGGGACAAUGAUAUGGAAGGAGUAAUGAAUAUUAUUUUUAUGAAAAAUAUACUAUUAAAAUUAGUGAUAUAAUAAUAGGAGACGAUACACACAUAAAAUUGUGGAAUGAUUUUUCAGAAAAAGAGAAUAAAUUAUUUUACCCAUCUCCCCAAAAAGCAUGUUUUUCGGGUCAUUUUUUGUUGCUAUGUUAUAAAAUGAAAAGCACAAGAAAAAAAAAAUUAACAAGUGAGUAUUGAUAAAUAAAAGUAAUAAUUUUUAUACUAAAAAAUAACAAUAGUAAAAACGAAAGUUGCUAUGAAUAAAAGUAGAUUAUACAAAAAAGUAACAAAUAUUAUGAUUAAAAAUUUAAUAGCGACUUCCCCUCAAAAAAAAAAAAAAUUACUAGCUACAAUUGCACUUCGUGAAACAAUUUUUAAAAUUUCUAUUUAUCCAAUCCAAAAAUAACUAAAUAAGUGACAAUUACAAAAGUGAUAUUAAUAAAUGUGACAAUAUUAAGACGAUGAAGCGCAGUCUGUUGGUAAGACGCUUCCCCUCCAACCAAUAGGUCGGGGAUUCGAGUCACCUUAGGAGUUAGAGUGUGAGUGGGUUUUUUCCUUUCUUUGAUUGUAACAAAUUUUUUUAAAAAAAAUGUGACAAUAUUAAUGAAUAAAAGUGAUAGUUUAUAUAUACAAAAAUAAAUAGAUUGGAUUCAGAUACGAUUUUAGGUCAAGGUCAAGUCGGACCUGAGUCUGAGUCGAGUCCGAUCCGUGCGAUCCUUUUUAGUAAACGCUCCAAAAUUCGGGCCACAAACAAUACUAACCCAUUUCAUAUGCAGAUUGGGCUUUCAAGAAAACACAAAAGCAUUGAAAUUGGAGUAAUUCAAAGCAAAAAAUAAGACUGCAAAUUUACCUAAAAUGAAAUCAAAACAAGAAUUGAUAAUAAACCAAAUUCCAUACCAACAGUUCAAACGCAUGAUUUUGCAGCAGUUUUCAAGACUCUUAUACAUCAGUCCGUUGCAGGAACAGAGAGAAACAACACAUCAUUUUUUACAUAAUAAUAAUGCAAAUCUAAAUUCUUGAGGGCAUUAACCCAUGGCAUACUUCUGAGUCC